rnacentral:lncRNA from 1 species
CGGAAAAACAGAAAGGAAGCAGACAUAGGAGCACUUCUGCAUCGUUGAAAACUUUCCAAGCAAUUGAUUCUAUUUGUGAAACACCAAGGAAAUUCCUUACUGGUAGCUGAAAACAUUCACGUCCUCACUGACAUCAAAUGUAAUAUAUAUGUUCUCAGGCUACAAGUAUCUGCACUACAUUACUGGACUGCACAGGUGUCAUCACUCAGAAAGGCUGUUGUUUACAGCUCUCACAGGAGGAAUAUUUAUCUGACAAAUUGUGUCGAAGCAGUGUCCAAAGGAUUUUCAUGGAAAACAAUCCCUAGCUAUUCAGCAUUUGAACUUUUUGCAGAGUGUGUGAUGGCAGUAAAAGUGCAACUGAACGUUUUCACACAAAAUCAAUAAACUCGAGAACUCCGAGGCUGGAGAAAGGCUAUCACUGUAAGGCAGCUUGUCUUCAAAUGCCUUCAAAGGUUAGCCAGAAGUACGAUAUGGAAUUUCUUGCAGAAUCACUACAUUAUGUUAAUAAAUAAAUAAAUAAAUAAAAUACUUAAACA